UGCCAAACGCUGCGUGCUGAGUCCUCGCUGGCCGAAGGUGUUAAACCGGUUACGCCCGGUCUCACGUGUCUCACUGGAUCAUGUUUCAUUGGUGUCCGUCAACAACUGCAAAGACAAGAGAGGACGACAGAGGAGGGACAACCCGUUAAAUGCUUUCUACCCGAGGACAACUACAGGCCUCAACAUUUCCAACAGCAGCUGGCUAACACACAAGAAAAUGUUCAGAACAAACUUUCUGGCAUCUACUCGGCUUUCCAAAGCUUGGGCUCGUUUCCACAGACAGGUAAAGUGCUGAACAACGCAACACCAACACGUUCCCUAUAACACAAUAUAAAAUGAGUUCCAUCAAGAGAAAUGCAAUGUUAUGUAUUCUAACUAUGGACAAAAUGUACCAACUCAGAGCCCUCAUAAUUGACGGGCUUUUGGUUUGUAAAAUAAACCAGUGAGAAAAG
ensembl:lncRNA